GGCUCAGGAUGAACGCUAGCUACAGGCUUAACACAUGCAAGUCGAGGGGCAGCAUGAAGUUGCUGCAAACUUGAUGGCGACCGGCGCACGGGUGAGUAACGCGUAUCCAACCUGGCCCGCAGUAGGGAACAGCCCGGCGAAAGUCGGAUUAAUGCCCUAUGUCUUCCUUUGCAGGCAUCCAAUGAGGAAGAAAGAUUUAUCGCUGCGGGAUGGGGAUGCGUCUGAUUAGCUUGUCGGCGGGGUAACGGCCCACCGAGGCGACGAUCAGUAGGGGUUCUGAGAGGAAGGUCCCCCACACUGGUACUGAGACACGGACCAGACUCCACGGGAGGCAGCAGUGAGGAAUAUUGGUCAAUGGGCGAGAGCCUGAACCAGCCAAGUAGCGUGCAGGAACCGACUGCCCUAUGGGUUGUAAACUGCUUUUAUGCGGGGAUAAACUUCAGCACGUGUGCUGUUUUGCAGGUACCGCAUGAAUAAGGACCGGCUAAUUCCGUGCCAGCCGCGGC
rnacentral:rRNA from 1 species